UUCAAGUCAUAUAACUCGAAAAGAACUAAUAAAAAAUAUUUUAUUACAGUGUUUUAAAAAACUCUUGAGGUAAGUUACGAGAAUAUGUAAUGAAACAUGGGGUGUCCCAUUUAAAACAUUUAAAUUGACUUUAAUCUGACCGUCUUAACGGCGCCAAGGUCAAGUCAAUGGUACCUUCUUAUGUUCCUCUCCGAACCAUAAAGCUUUCAUAUAUAUUUAUGUCCUUCACUUGUGUUUUUCGAGCAUUCGUCACUGUAUAUCGAGGAGAAAUCUUUUACAUAUCAACUUGGCGAUCGCUAAUGCUUCUUUUCUUCCGCUUUAUAUUUUAGAUCAACAGUAGUUGCGUGGGAUCGUUACAAUCUUACUAAUUUCCCCUUCAACUUUUCCCUUCCAAUAAAGAUGAUAGAAUAAUUAGAUAUAUUGAAUCUAUACGUGUUUAUUACAAAUCGCGAUAUGCAUGAUUUUAAAAUUAACAAAAAUAUUUCUGCUAAUUGUCCGUUAAUUGCUAAGAUCGUUCUUAUAACGUUAGAACGUUACUUGCAGCAACUAAUUUUACUUUAACUACUAUUUGUGAAAGCAAUUCUAAUAAUAAUGUCACACAUAAGGUUCUAUGCAACUACUGUGCAAUUAACAAUAAGCAAUCGGAUUGUUACAUUAACGAAUACAUUUCAAAUACACGAAAAUCUCGAUAUGUAAGAUAGAGAGAUUAUAUUACGUUUUCAUAGCUAUUUUACAAUUUGUUCAUAACUAUUUUACGAAAUGUGAUCGAUAAAUGUUAAUUGUGGCCGCAUAAAACACCAAAAUUGUUAACUUUAUAAGUGAUUCACAACGAAAAUGGCAAGAAGCACAUUUCAGUGGUGUAUAUCUUUGUUUCGCAUCUAAGCUGUGGUAGGAUACAGUACCUACGCAUUAUCGAGAUUUAUCCCCGAUUACACGACGGCUCGCAUUUUAACAUUUAAUGCGUACUUGUGUAUAUUUAAUAUUUAUGAGUAAUCUGCAUUAUAUUGAUCAUUAUGAAUAUAACAAUAUAUCAUUGUAACCGCGAAUAUUGAAUGUGAAUAUACGUAGAAUGCAAACAAUUUGCGAACAGUUUAACAUCGCGAAUUGCUCGCAACUGCAAGGCAGUAUUCCCUCAUUCGUCUAAGAGGGAACUGUUAUUAUGGAAUUCAUUAAUUCCGAAAGUAGACUAUAAAGUAUUAUAAAAGUCUCCUCAUACACUUGCCGAUUAUAUCAUUUGAUUAUGACGAGAUUAAAGUAAUGAAUUUAAUGUUAAAUGAGUAAUCUGCAUAACAUCAAUCAUUACGAAUAUAACGAGUAUAUCAUUGUAACCGCGAAUGUUGAAUGUGAAUAUACGCAAACUGCAAACAAUUUGCAAACGGUUUAACAUCGCAAAUUGCUCGCAACUGCAAGGCAGUAUUCCCUUACUAGUCUAAGAAGGAACUGCGGCAAUUGCGCAAGAUCGAAGUAAUACCACAAAUAGUAAAGUAUUAUAAAAGUCUCCACAUAUACUGAUUAUAUGCUUUGAUUAUGGUGAGAUUUAGAAUAAUGAAUUUAACGUUAAAUGAGUAAUCUGCAUAAUAUCGACCAUUAUGAAUAUAACAAAGUUUGUCGUAACCGCGAAUGUUGAAUGUGAAUAUACGCAGACUGCAAACAAUUUGCGAACAGUUUAACAUCGCAAAUUGCUCGCAACUGUAAGGCAGUAUUCCCUUAUUCGUCUAAGAGGGAACUGCGUUAUUUGCACAAGCACGGAAAGUAAUUACACAAAUAGUAAAGUAUUAUAAAAGUCUCCUCAUAAACUGAUUAUAUCCUUCGAUUAUGAUGAGAUUAGAGUAAUGAAUUUAAUGUUAAAUGAGUAAUCUGCAUGAUAUCGAUCAUUAUGGACACAACAAGUUUGUCGUAAUCGCGAAUGUUAAAUGUGAAUAUACGCAGACUGCAAACAAUUUGCGAACAGUUUAACAUCGCAAAUUGCUCGCAACUGUAAGGCAGUAUUCCCUUAUUCUAUUCCCUUCGUCUAAGAGGGAACUGCGUUAAUUAUAUUGCAUUAUGGUAAGAUUAGAAUAAUGAAUUUAAUGUUAAAGUCGGAUGGUAACCCGAAAGGAAAACGAACAACAAUAAUAAUCGAGUAGGCGUGCGGGCGCGACAAAUAUACACGUCGCAGCCCAGUAUUGUGCGUUACAUCCUUGAUUUCAAUGCGUGCUAGCCCAAUAUGUAUGGCAUUCAAUCAUACACAUACUCAUUGUCACUACAUGCACAGAAAAUUAAAUCGCUAUACUUAUAAGUAAUAUUACUGUACACGGUACGACAUCAAUGUUAUUUAAUGCACUAUUAUUAAAGUAUGGAACUGUAUCGUGCCAGCAAAGUAAAAUAUUGAGAAUACUUCUCUUACUUGAGAAGGAAGUCACCGCUCUAGGAAGUCACCGAUUUCAGGUAGACACAGGUCUAAUAUUAACUAACUUAUGUAGAUUCGUUAGGGAUCUUAAAAAUUAACGUAAUCGGUCAAAGUAUUGCAAGAUAUACAAUACACGUAUAAUCCAAAAACAGAUACAUAGAUUAGUAGACGAAAGGGCGGCCGUGCUCGUCGCGCUUUCUCGAGCGGAAUGAUUCUUACCGGGCGCGAGCACGUUGAUCAUGCACCCAAAGAGAGAAAGGGAGAAUCGAAACGUGACGCUUCGAUGACCACGAACGGACCACCCACGCGGGAGAAAGGGUUGAAUCGAGGUUCACGAUCGACUCGUUGGCCGCCACGUGCUCGAAAACCGCCAUGACUUUCGAAUUGGCUGACAUUCACGCGAUGGUCGACGUUUCGAUGAACCUUGAAUCGAAGCUGAAUACCGACGGUGAUGACUUUUGACAUUACCCCGUGCGAAGUGCGUGCGAUUCAAUCGUUGCGAGAAAAAAAAAGCAGAAACGAUAGAGUUGUAAUGGAUGAUGAGUAUACAAGCGGAUGAUUCGUUGCGGUUCGUGCGGUGAUUUCGAGCGUAAUGGAAAAAAAAUGCAAGGUGUAACAGUUCGAGGAUGGUCUGAAAUAGUCUGAAUAAAUGGCGGCCUUUUUGAUAUCUGUUCCAAUUAUAGAACUUUAAUAUGCUUGUAUUGAUUAAACAUCGUGUUUCAGAAUAGAUUCAAUAAUGUCGCUAUUUUAUUUUAUAUUUUAUAGUUUACUGCAACUUAUGUGCUUUUUCCAUCAAACGAAUUAGACUUAAUUACACCUCCCAAGAAGUCGAUUAAGUAAUUUUUAAAAAAUGAAUAUCUUUGUAUAAUUUAUUUGAAAUUUAGAUUACUGAAUUUUCUUAAUUUGGAAUGUAGUAAGAUUUCGAAUUACGGGAAAAUGAUCGGACACCAUUUCCGCGUAAUUUGAGAUGAAAGAUAGAAAAGUUGACGAUUAGAAGGACAAUCCCUGAAUUCAAGAUCGAUGUAAGAAAAACGAAAGAUCGAGGAAUCGCAAACGACACGGUGCGUUUCUUUUUAAUGAUAAACUUGUAACGGUACUUAAAGUUAUAAGCAUAUUUUUAGUAGUUCACUGAGAGGACAACGAAUCAACAGAACGAGUACGUGUCCUGAACGGUGGAAUGUAAACGGCAAGAAAAGAUCGAACAACGAUGAUAACAUAUACGCAAUGUCCGUGUAAUACGUUGCGCGCGCGUAGAUUAGCGCGCGCUAGAAUUAUCACUUAUCGUACGAU